rnacentral:lncRNA from 1 species
AAAGUUUGAAAAAAUAAUUAUAAAGUUUAUUUAAAUGUUGAUUGUCCCAAGGUCUACAGUUUCUUUUCUGUUGUGUCAUCAGUGACAAAGAGUAAAAAAAGGAAACUCCCAUAUUUAGCACUUUAGAGUAAAACACAUGGAUCAUCGUUAUUAACAGUCCUCUGGGCGCUGGAAUUUCUGGUGUUUGUUUAAUAAGCAAAGGAAGUCAUUUUGCUUACUGAACCUGGGGACAUACUACUCCCCAGCACUGCCUAAGUUUCUGGAAAAAAAAAGUUUUAAAAUAAAAAGAGUCCUGUAAAAUAGAGAGACUUUAUUUUAAAACAA